rnacentral:ncRNA from 1 species
AAACUAAAUAGGUAAAAUCAUCGAAAGAUGAUGACACAAAACUAUAGGGUCUUUAAAAUGACAGCCAGUUGCACAU